UACGUAGGGGGCAAGCGUUGUCCGGCUUUAUUGGGCGUAAAGAGCGUGUAGGCGGUUUGGUAGGUCCGCUGUGAAAACUCGAGGCUCAACCUCGAGACGCCGGUGGAAACCAUCAGGCUAGAGUCCGGAAGAGGAGAGUGGAAUUCCUGGUGUAGCGGUGAAAUGCGCAGAUAUCAGGAAGAACACCCGUGGCUAAGGCGGCUCUCUAGUACGGUACUGACGCUGAGACGCGAAAGCGUGGGGAGCGAACAGG
rnacentral:rRNA from 1 species